ACGUAGGUGGCAAGCGUUAUCCGGAUUUAUUGGGCGUAAAGCGAGCGCAGGCGGUUGCUUAGGUCUGAUGUGAAAGCCCACGGCUCAACCGUGGAACUGCAUCGGAAACUGUCAUUCUUGAGUGCAGAAGAGGAGAGUGGAACUCCAUGUGUAGCGGUGGAAUGCGUAGAUAUAUGGAAGAACACCAGUGGCGAAGGCGGCUCUCUGGUCUGCAACUGACGCUGAGGCUCGAAAGCAUGGGUAGCGAACAGGAUUAGAUACCCUGGUAGUCCAUGCCGUAAACGAUGAGUGCUAGGUGUUGGAGGGUUUCCGCCCUUCAGUGCCGGAGCUAACGCAUUAAGCACUCCGCCUGGGGAGUACGACCGCAAGGUUG
rnacentral:rRNA from 1 species